rnacentral:tRNA from 1 species
GCGGGCGUGGUGGAAUGGUAGACACAAGGGACUUAAAAUCCCUGGCCUAUGGCAUGCGGGUUCGAGUCCCGCCGCCCGUACCA